AGGAAGGGCUGGGACCCAGGACGGCGCCCAAACUUCUGAGGUCCCCAGCUAGCAGAAAGGUAGCCUCCCUUUCCCCCCACACCCUUUACAAUGAGGACCCCGAGGUACCACACUCCUCCACUCUCCAAAACCGCCCCUCCGCUGGAGGAUCUCCCAUCCCCUCCGCUCAAUAGUACCAUUAUCUCACCGUGCUCCUCCUCACUAAUCUAGACUCCUAACUCCUUCUCCAGACCCCUUUUUCGCCCUACCGGCCGCCCCUCCUCACCAAGCUGUCCUUUGCCCGCCACCACAGGAAUCCAAAUGCAGCGCUUUUCCCGCCAAAAUUUGUUUGCGUCACGCUGCCGCAAACGCGCGCACCCUUGCCGUAAAGCAGGACGACGCGCGUUCCCGCGUCCCUCUGAAGAUUGGCGGCUCAAAACACCUGAGCGGUGUAAUCCCUCUUGCCAGUUCUGAGCUGGUCUAGCCUGGGUUCCUUGGAGGUGUGGAGCAGAUCCUAGCUGAAAAGAUUGACGAACCGACCAGCGAAUUGAUCUCUUGGUCUGUGUGAAAUGACAUUCGGUGUGUGGGGCUCCGCUGCGCGGCUUCGGGCGCUCUGGGGCAGGGCCGACGCCUCCAUCCCCAUGGGCUGCGCCUCCUGGCGGUGGUCCCCGCUUUGUUCCCGGCCACUCUGGGCCUGGAAAGGCCAUAAAUUGCCUACGGAAACCCACCAGCCUGUGACCUCUGAGCACCUGGCCUGGCAGCCCGAAAAGACCAAGGAGGCUCCAGAUUUCUCAACUUUGGAAUGCGGGACCGAGUGCCUACUAUCAACAGCUGUGGUGAAGAGGGGUUUUGUGUUGGAGGGGAGAGCCAUCAAAAGUGGCCACACAUUAAGGGAGGUGGAAGAGUACUGGAAUAAAGUAAUCUGGGGAGAAUCUGAGGUAAUAUCAGGAUAACCAGUUUUGCCUUGUGGGUGAAUAGACUUCAAAACAAUACUUUAAUUCAGCCUUAACUUUGAAGGAUGAGACCAUCUGCCUAGCUUAGUUCUAGCAACUUUCUUGUUCUUAAUGUGUAAAAAACGGGCAAGUAAAAGCCAGUAUAAAUUUUACAAUGCAAAAUUUUUAAAGUAACCAAUUUAAAGAGAAGAAAAUUCCAAAGAAAGGGAUUUGAGAACAAAAUAAGCCAGGAAAAACUGAAAUGGGUAUUCCCCUGCAGUAGACUGAGAAUUGAAGGCACAGGCAAGUACAUUAAAUUCCCCCCUUCUUCAAAAUCAAGCCAAAUACAUUCAAGAUAACUUGCAAUACUAGUAAUGGAGUAAAAUAUAUUACACAUAAAAGAAUGCAUACAUCUGUUUUAAAAAAGCAAAGUCGGGGACAAACUGCAAAUGCUUGGGUGUGAAGUUUUGAACCAUGAUAUCAAUUUAGAUUUCAUGUAAUGUUUUCUAGUUUACUCCAUCCUCCCUGAUUUCCUCUCUGUGUGCUGAAAACAAAGAUAAGAAGAGAAGGAUCUCUACCAGUUCCAGUGUGCCUGGGUAGAAUUCAAAUUUUUCCUGAAAAAACACAAUAUCAGUUAAAUACAGCAUAUAUGAGAAAGAAUUGCCUCUGUGCCCUUUGGAAAUGACUAACAAAAUAGUAAAAGAUAAAUUUUUAGAAGACAGUAACCUCUAAGAAUGAGUAUAAAACAAUUUUGGAAAGCCUUGACAUGGAAGGUAACUAACUUAAAUGAAAUAAAGAUGAAACCCAAAACUGGCAAUAAGAAUGCAAUAAAGCAACGAUUUACAUCUCAGAAAUCCUAAAAGCCUCAACUUGAAUUGGUGACACCAGGCAACUCUGAAUGUGGAGGUGAAAGUGGGGCAAAAAGAGGGUAGGUUGAAAGACUUUAUAAGAAGCAAAUAGACUUCUACCUAAAAGAACUGCUUCUCUCCAAAGCUGGGUCAAGACUUAGUAAUUAUGUGAUAUUUGAACUGGAAAUAAAUAAGGACAGUUAAAAGCUUUUAGGUACCUUAACUGAACACAGAGGAAUUAAUUUUAAUUGUAAACACUGAAAAUUGAGACUAUAGGCUUUUUUUCCCUACUCCCAGAAAACUGAUAGCCUGGCUUGUCCUUGAGUAAGAGAUUAUAUGCCUUGAGGAAAUCUGAUCUAUGUAAGAGAAAAAUACCUAGCUACCAGUACUAGACUUUCCGGUGUAAUAGCCCAGCCAGAUCACAGCAGAUUGAAAAACACAUAAAUAAGCACCACCUGCCAUCCAAAAGCCUUUUCAAUCAGCUUUUUAUGUCCCACUCUCUAAAAAGAGCAAACAACCAAGAAUUGAGAGUCUUCAGUUGAUGUCAAAGGAGGAAUUUUGAAACAAAAAAACUAUUUUAAAAUAGUUUUUAAAAUACACUUGAGGAACUCUUCCCAGAUGGAAGAAGAUGAAAAAUAGAAAAGUAAAAAUGAGAACAUUAGGAGACUGAUUCAGGAAGUCCAACAUCCAAACAACUCCUAUUUAUAGUAAGAAAAAGGGAAUAAUAAUUAGAAUAGUAUUGCAUUUCUCAACAUUUGGAAGACAGAAAACAAUGAGUCAAUCCCUUCAUGAUCCCAAGGAAAAAUUAUUUCCAAAAUAUACUUAGUGAAUUUACAAGUUCAGUGUGAAAAAAACACAAAAUCUCCCAAAAUUCUCUCCCAUACCCUUUCUAAGAUACUUAAAAGGUGAUAAAAAUCAAGAAAGAAGUAAAAUAGGGCUUGGGAUGUAGUAGUAGG
rnacentral:lncRNA from 1 species